AUCAAUAUCUUUAAAAAAUGAAUUAAUAUCUAUUCUACAUAGCCCCAGUCCUAUCUAUGUAGCAUCCUCGCAAACACUCAAUUGAUACCUAUCUAAAAAAUUAUCUUACAAAACUCUACAAAAAUUAUGAUCCCUCUGGCCUACCUAAUUAAUCAAUUACCACAGUAUCUGUUAUUGGUUCCACCGAUUCUAGUUCCAACUACAAAUCUUUGUCUUCUUUCAAUCCUUCCAUUGGCUCCUGCCUCAACUCAGCUGAAAGAUCUUCAUUGUACUCGCCCAGUUCACGGACUUGAGCUUCCAAUUUCAAGAUCUCCACAUUU
rnacentral:lncRNA from 1 species